UAGGGAAUCUUCCGCAAUGGGCGAAAGCCUGACGGAGCAACGCCGCGUGAGUGAUGAAGGUCUUCGGAUCGUAAAACUCUGUUAUUAGGGAAGAACAAAUGUGUAAGUAACUAUGCACGUCUUGACGGUACCUAAUCAGAAAGCCACGGCUAACUACGUGCCAGCAGCCGCGGUAAUACGUAGGUGGCAAGCGUUAUCCGGAAUUAUUGGGCGUAAAGCGCGCGUAGGCGGUUUUUUAAGUCUGAUGUGAAAGCCCACGGCUCAACCGUGGAGGGUCAUUGGAAACUGGAAAACUUGAGUGCAGAAGAGGAAAGUGGAAUUCCAUGUGUAGCGGUGAAAUGCGCAGAGAUAUGGAGGAACACCAGUGGCGAAGGCGACUUUCUGGUCUGUAACUGACGCUGAUGUGCGAAAGCGUUGGGAUCAAACAGG
rnacentral:rRNA from 1 species